UAGAUAUUAACGAUGAACCAUCAAUGUUCCUAGUCCAGAGGAUGAUGAGGUAUCUGGGAGACCAGCAGAGGUUAAAACUAGCUCCAGAGCAUAAGGUAUUAUCAGAGGCUUGGACCCUCCUCCUCCUGAUGAUGGGAUCCAAGCUUGCUAGGAUUAAGGAGGUCUCAAGGGAUCCGGCAUAUGUUCCUAAAUAGGAUCAGAGUUAUUAGCACUUGGCCUGGCCAUUAUAACAGAAUGAUGUGUAUAAGUAUGCAUAUUUAAUAUUAAAAUACAAAUUAAACGUUAAA